rnacentral:rRNA from 1 species
UACGGGAGGAGCAGUGGGGAAUAUUGCACAAUGGGCGAAAGCCUGAUGCAGCGACGCCGCGUGAGGGAUGACGGCCUUCGGGUUGUAAACCUCUUUCAGUAGGGAAGAAGCGAAAGUGACGGUACCUGCAGAAGAAGCACCGGCUAACUACGUGCCAGCAGCCGCGGUAAUACGUAGGGUGCGAGCGUUAUCCGGAAUUAUUGGGCGUAAAAGAGCUCGUAGGCGGUUUGUCGCGUCUGUCGUGAAAGUCCGGGGCUUAACCCCGGAUCUGCGGUGGGUACGGGCAGACUAGAGUGCAGUAGGGGAGACUGGAAUUCCUGGUGUAGCGGUGGAAUGCGCAGAUAUCAGGAGGAACACCGAUGGCGAAGGCAGGUCUCUGGGCUGUAACUGACGCUGAGGGAGCGAAAGCAUGGGGAGCGAAACAGGGAUUAGAUACC